rnacentral:rRNA from 1 species
AACGAACGCUGGCGGCAUGCCUAACACAUGCAAGUCGAACGAGACCUUCGGGUCUAGUGGCGCACGGGUGCGUAACGCGUGGGAACCUGCCCUUAGGUUCGGAAUAACUCCCCGAAAGGGGUGCUAAUACCGGAUAAUGUCUUCGGACCAAAGAUUUAUCGCCUUUGGAUGGGCCCGCGUUGGAUUAGCUAGUUGGUAGGGUAAAAGCCUACCAAGGCGACGAUCCAUAGCUGGUCUGAGAGGAUGAUCAGCCACACUGGGACUGAUACACGGCCCAGACUCCUACGGGAAGCAGCAGUGGGGAAUAUUGGACAAUGGGCGAAAGCCUGAUCCAGCAAUGCCGCGUGAGUGAUGAAGGCCUUAGGGUUGUAAAGCUCUUUUACCCGGGAUGAUAAUGACAGUACCGGGAGAAUAAGCUCCGGCUAACUCCGUG